rnacentral:sRNA from 1 species
AGUACUUUUUACUUUCAGCAUCUUUCCAAGAAAGUGAUGGUCAUGUGACCCCCAGCAGCGAGACGCCAGGCUUGAACCUAUCCUCUCCAGGUGCUUUUCAUGAACAGUUCAGUUUUUUAACACAGGAGGCAACCAAACAGAAAAAGAAAGCAGCCAAGAAAUCAACAGAAUUACCUUCCUUGCCAGCUCUCUUCAACACAAUGGAGAGGGAUGUACUUUACUAAAAUAGUAAACACUUCCACAUGAGAAUGAGAUCCAAUAGCAAAAUAAUCUUUUCAAUUUUGACAUUAAUCAAAAUUUGUUUUUAGUAAGUUAAAGUGAUAGAAUGUAUUUGUGAAUACUGUUAAGGGUGCAAGACUCUCAAUACUGACUUGUAGAUCAUGAUUACAAUAAAUGUUAGUUCUGUCUCAAAAGGAAUUUCUAUUAUUAAAUACAUUUUACAGAACAAUUCAAAAAUAUUUUAUACAUUUUAUAUCA